GGUUCAUCCGUCACGUAAUAGUUCCCACAGAUGCAAUGGCUAGAAAAAGUCGACACACCCCUGUUACCGUGGUAGGCUUUUUGUCAUUAAAAAUAAGACCUACAAACUGUACAACUGAAAAUGUUGUUUUUUUGUAUGUCGGUACUCCUUGAGGGUUAAAGUCCGUUGACUUUGUGUUCUACGUGCCGGACUGGCAGGAUGGGGGAUGUGUGGGAGCUUCCUUGUCCGUGUAGAAAGGAUGCAGGCUGAAGACAACACAUGCGAGCAAUGUGAAAGAGGUCAAGGCUUCCUGCUGUCUGGCUGCUAGCGUAAACAUUCAACAUAGCGCAUGAGGAAACGUGGCGGAACAUUUGCUACAGAAGAGGUCUGACAUCAAUCUAGAAGUCGCCGCUGUAGCCGUUUGGCCGACGAGUGAUUCGGCGCAGGCCGAUUGUUUGCGAGGAGGCGGCAAAGCGGCUCAUUUCCAUACAAAUUGCGGCGGUUGUGAAGCCAAGGACGGACGGGUACGAGGAUUUGGAGCUCUGAUGACCAAGCCCGUGGCUGACUUGAGCGCUCUUCUCAUCCACGCUUCCCUCAGCACCUCCAAGCUAGCCGAGCUUCCCUGGAUGAAAAGCACCAAGUUGUCCAUCCAGCCUUGGAAGUGCACC